rnacentral:rRNA from 1 species
UACGGGGGGGGCAAGCGUUGUUCGGAAUUACUGGGCGUAAAGGGCUCGUAGGCGGCCAACUAAGUCGGACGUGAAAUCCCCAGGCUCAACCUGGGAACUGCGUCCGAUACUGGAUGGCUUGAAUUCGGGAGAGGGAUGCAGAAUUCCAGGUGUAGCGGUGAAAUGCGUAGAUAUCUGGAGGAACACCGGUGGCGAAGGCGGCAUCCUGGACCGACACUGACACUGAGGAGCGAAAGCCAGGGGAGCAAACGGG